AUAAAUUUUCAGGAAAUUAAAUAUUAGUAAUCCCCACUCCCUUCCUAUCAACUCCCAGCAGCGCCGCGUGGACAUCUCUCGACGUAUAUAGUGGCGAGAUCAAAAAUACCCGCAUGUCGGCGAUUAACAGGAAUUAACAUGUAUCGCUAAAGUCGGCCAAAUAUUGACACUCGUCCGAGCCGAGUGACGGAGAUCGGAUAUAUCCGGUCCAGCGAUGGGGAGGAGGCGGAGGCGCUGGGGGCCCUGGAAGUGGUUAAUGUGACGAGAAAAGUCAAACAAAAAGCGGCGACGAGUCGGAAUGGGUCGAACGCUGAACAAAUUGACUCGGCCACAUAAUUAGGCACUUGGCCAUGUCCACAGCUGGCACGAUAUACACGUCUACCUUGUGCAUGUGUAACUAUAUCCCAUUGGAUCCCAUGCAGUCAAAAGUAUCUCACGCAGUGGGACAAAAGGUUUUUAUUGUGCGUACCCGUUGACAGCCUCAAUCGACGGGGUUUGGCCCGAGUCGGACGAGUACGAACCUCUCCGGUCGCAUCGUUUGUUAUAUUUGUUAUUUAUUUUGCGGUUAUAAUACUUAUGCACUGGGGCUGGACGGAAAAAUAUUGGCAUCCAUUCAGCGGGACAAGACUCCACGGCGUUUUACAGUUUCUCGGGCCGCGACGAGAUGAUAAAUUAGCUUUCCCCCUCCCACUCCGCCCAGACCCCACCCUUGGCAGUACCUCCCCUCGGAGUCGCACUGUGGGAACUGCCACAGCUUUGGCGGGCAUAAAAAUGUGCGCCGUAAUUGUCGGCUGAAUUUAAUUGUGAUUGGACACCGCUCAAAAGCCGGGCUGUGUUUCACGCCCUCAAAACGGAACCGUCGAGGACCAGUGUGACCAACAGUGUAUUUAAAAAAGGAACCUUCCGGGAAAAGUGUGACCAACCUUGUAUUUGAGUUCAGCCCCAGUAAUUGUUGUGCACACACCCACACCCCCUUACCCCUUUUUUCGGUGCGCGAUGAUUUCACGCAGUGCUAAUUAAUUGCCCAACAAUCGAAGCGUUUGGAAUGCAGCCCAAAAGAGUCUAAAGCGUCUAAAGAGCGUGGGAACUGGCCGAAAGUGAAUGGAAAGGCGGCUCGAAUCGGGCAGAGGAAGUGGAAAUGGAAGUUGUCGCCUCAGUUUGGACAAGCCGAAAGAGUUUUCACACCUGUUUGCGGGCCAAUUGAUUUCACCUUUUCCUAUCGACUCGAAUAGACUAGGAAACGCAGAGAGCUGAGAACCAAGAUCGAGAUCCGAGCGGAGGCAGCGAAUUCAAUUAGUAAUAAACAAGACCUUGAUAUACGAGUAUGCU